rnacentral:rRNA from 1 species
AUUGAACGCUGGCGGCAGGCCUAACACAUGCAAGUCGAACGAGUGGCGGACGGGUGAGUAAUGUCUGGGAAACUGCCUGAUGGAGGGGGAUACCUCCUGGAAAAGGUAGCUAAUACCGCCUACCAUCAGCUGUGCCCAGAUGGGAUUAGCUAGUUGGUGGGGUAACGGCUCACCACGGCGACGAUCGCUAGCUGGUCUGAGGGGAUGACCGGCCAGACUGGAACUGAGACACGGGCCAGACACCUACGGGAGGCAGCAGUGGGGAAUAUUGCACAAUGGGCGCAAGCCUGAUGCAGCCAUGCCGCGUGUAUGAAGAAGGCCUUCGGGGUGUAAAGUACUUUCAGCGGGGAGGCGUUACCCGCAGAAGAAGCACCGGCGAACGCCGUGUCAGCAGCCGCGGUAAUAC